rnacentral:rRNA from 1 species
GGUAUGGGAUGAGCUUGCGUCCGAUUAGCUAGUUGGCGGGGCAACGGCCCACCAAGGCGACGAUCGGUAGCCGGCCUGAGAGGGCGAUCGGCCACAUUGGGACUGAGAUACGGCCCAGACUCCUACGGGAGGCAGCAGUAGGGAAUAUUGCACAAUGGGGGAAACCCUGAUGCAGCAACGCCACGUGUGGGAAGAAGCAUUUCGGUGUGUAAACCACUGUCGUGAGGGAAUAAGGCUGUUUUUCGGAACAGUUGAAUGUACCUCGAAAGGAAGCACCGGCAAACUUCGUGCCAGCAGCCGCGGUAAUACGAGGGGUGCAAGCGUUGUUCGGAAUCACUGGGCGUAAAGGGAGCGUAGGCGGAGAUGCAAGCAGUCUGUACAAUACCGGGGCCCAACCCCGGACCUGCAGACUGGACUGUGUCUCUUGGAUAGUUCAGGGGCAGGC